GCUAUGUCUGUUCUAAUACUAGGGGAUGUACAAUUACUCUUCUAGCUUCGCUUUCAGACAAAAACAAAGUCUUCAAAUUUAUCCUAAUGUGACCAUUCCAAUGUGAAUCUUGCAUUGGCAUUUUGAAGAUACAUUU